GACAGAGGAUGCAAGCGUUAUCCGGAAUGAUUGGGCGUAAAGCGUCUGUAGGUGGCUUUUUAAGUCCGCCGUCAAAUCCCAGGGCUCAACCCUGGACAGGCGGUGGAAACUACCAAGCUGGAGUACGGUAGGGGCAGAGGGAAUUUCCGGUGGAGCGGUGAAAUGCGUAGAGAUCCGGGGGAACACCGAAGGCGAAGGCAGUGUCCUGGCGCGUAACUGACGCUGAGGUGCGAAAGCCAGGGGAGCGAACGGG
rnacentral:rRNA from 1 species